rnacentral:piRNA from 1 species
UCUUUUUACAGUUGAAAAAGUGAUAACAAG